ensembl:lncRNA
GUGGUGACACUUUACCUUGUGUGCAACGUCCUGCCAUUUCGACACACACGAUAAUUAUUAAAAUACAUGGGCCUAGUAGAAUGACCUAUAUUAUAUUUACGCUCACAUCCACUCACACAAGACAGAAGAUUUCGAAGUGAAGUGUCACGUCACAAUCACAAGAGUACAAGGAGCAGUUGACCCUAACUAUUGUCGGAAUGGGGGUAUCAAGAAGUGUCGGUUUGGAGGGCUGUCUAAAUGGAAGUCUGUCAGAAUAAGGGGUAGACGCUGUGGUGUCCCCCGGUCUGUCUGGGCCUGUCCUGAGGCGUCCCUGCCCUUCAGUGCUUCAGUCCUGCCCUAAUCCAGUUAUACAGUCCCGUAAUCCCAGACUAGCGCCUGUCGCAGGCUCUGCUCGGCAGUCGCUCUGUUUGGGGACGCAGCUGGACCCUCUGGACUCAGGAUGUUGAGUUGGGUGGUGAAAGUGGUGCCCCAUCCUCCGGACCUGCCCAAAAACAGCGACACCAAGGAGGAGGCGCCAGCCGCUCCACCCGCCGCCCCGAAUGAGAAGAAAGUGACAUUCAAAGAUGAAGCAGUUCCAAAUGCAGACCAAACCCACAAUGCUACAGCCACUGAAGGAAGCAGGCCGGGGACUGCAGUCUUGUCUUGGAUCAGUAACGCCAUGCCCCAACCGGUGAAUGCAAACAACGCUGUGAACAAGGAGGAAAGCUCGCCACCAAGUAAAGGGGUGAUUUCGUGGAUCUCUCAGGGCUUUGAGAAGGUUGUUCCUCACCCAGAGCUGAAAAACAAAGAGGCUAAUCCAGCAGAGAAACCAGUGCAGGUCCGACCGGCCACAGCACCAGCUGCGUCGGCGCCUGUGGAAGUGAAGCCAGGCACAGAAGACAAAAAUGAGAACAAAACAAGUAUGAUCGAGUGGAUAAAGCAGGGCAUAGAGAAAGUGGUCCCUCAGCCCGAGCACCUGAAGGCGAAGGCAGACAACGAGGCCCCUCCUGCCCCUCCCAAAGUGGAAGCCCCGCCCCCUCCAGCUCCGAAAGCAGCCUCAGACGAGACGCCGUCAACAGAGCAACAACCCAAUGUGGUCGGGUGGAUCGUCAACGGACUCGGACGGAUGCUGCCGCAGCCUGUUCUCAAAGCGGACGGUGGUGACAGUGGACAAAACAGGGGAACAGGUGGAUAGAGCCCCUCAGACCGACCCGCACUGAGCCACGACCCUCGAGAUCCACACCUUUACAUUCAAUAUCUCAUUUAAAACAUGUAUAAUAUUGUAACAAAGUGUUAUUACUGUGAAAUAAUGAGAAGCACCUACUGACAGAAAAGAUUGUACUGAUUUAGUCAAGUGGAGAUCCAUAUAAAACCAUUGACAAAGUUGUGAAUAGAACAAUUGAAUAUUCAUUUUAUAGAGACAGUCUUUAGACUUUGUCCUAGCGUGCAAACACUGUCUCUAAACACAGUCAUUUGUGUCAUUUGUGUCAACUCAAAGCACUGAAUAUCCUGACAUGUGGGAAACUGUUCAAAUACUGAAGUCAGGAAGUGGAUCACUAACUGUCUUAUGUUUAUUUUAAUAUACAGUAUGCUCAUUUAAGAUUUAGCCAGCAAAAGGGCAGAUACCAUUGCCCAGCUCAGUCCACCUCCAGCUCUGAAAUAUAUAUAUUUAGAUAUUCACUCUUGAAGUAAGCAGAGCUCGCCUCGAUAUAACUUACUGAUGACUAUAGGAUUCUCCAGGAGGACUUUUUCUACUUACUGUAACUAUUUCAAAUAUUGAAGCUACUUUAUUUGAUGGUAACGUCACAAAUGCGAUAGAUUUCCAAGACAAUUUUGUUUUGUAACAUUAUUAUGACCAGAUGAGAUCACAAACCACCUUUUUCCAGUGUCCCACCUGUUUCCUGUGAAUCUACCUACACCUACAAAGUCUUUUGGUGCUGGUCCAUCUUUCAUACUUUAUUUACAUGUAAAUAAACUGCAA